AAGUCGUAACAAGGUUUCCGUAGGUGAACCUGCGGAAGGAUCAUUAACACGUAUCCACGUAUCAACCAACCGCGAACUGGUUUUCAACUCUCCCUGCCCGGCUACAUGAAUUGAAUCGAAUCAAGUGAUGAUGAGGAAUGCACACUUCGGUGUACAUUCCACUUGAUGCGAUAACUUGACCUUCGGGUCAGACGAUUGUAGUAGUCGCGUCUGCAGGCACACCUUUCCAUUAACAACUUCUCUCUUCAUGGACGAGUUGAUGGAAUACUAUUCACCUAUUUCACCCCCUUUUUGCUAGUUGACUUUUAUAUGUUGUUCGAUUCGUACUUGACUGUAUGAGUGGAUCACACGUUUAUUAUUUGAACGUUAAAAUUACAACUCUUAGCAAUGGAUAUCUUGGUUCUC
rnacentral:misc_RNA from 1 species